UUUCUUAAUACAUGCAAAGUCGGAGCGAACUGAUUAGAAGCUUGCUUCUAUGACGUUAGCGGCGGACGGGUGAGUAACACGUGGGCAACCUGCCUGUAAGACUGGGAUAACUUCGGGAAACCGAAGCUAAUACCGGAUAGGAUCUUCUCCUUCAUGGGAGAUGAUUGAAAGAUGGUUUCGGCUAUCACUUACAGAUGGGCCCGCGGUGCAUUAGCUAGUUGGUGAGGUAACGGCUCACCAAGGCAACGAUGCAUAGCCGACCUGAGAGGGUGAUCGGCCACACUGGGACUGAGACACGGCCCAGACUCCUACGGGAGGCAGCAGUAGGGAAUCUUCCGCAAUGGACGAAAGUCUGACGGAGCAACGCCGCGUGAGUGAUGAAGGCUUUCGGGUCGUAAAACUCUGUUGUUAGGGAAGAACAAGUACGAGAGUAACUGCUCGUACCUUGACGGUACCUAACCAGAAAGCCACGGCUAACUACGUGCCAGCAGCCGCGGUAAUACGUAGGUGGCAAGCGUUAUCCGGAAUUAUUGGGCGUAAAGCGCGCGCAGGCGGUUUCUUAAGUCUGAUGUGAAAGCCCACGGCUCAACCGUGGAGGGUCAUUGGAAACUGGGGAACUUGAGUGCAGAAGAGAAAAGCGGAAUUCCACGUGUAGCGGUGAAAUGCGUAGAGAUGUGGAGGAACACCAGUGGCGAAGGCGGCUUUUUGGUCUGUAACUGACGCUGA
rnacentral:rRNA from 2 species